CUUGGUCAUUUAGAGGAAGUGAAAGUCGUAACAAGGUUUCCGUAGGUGAACCUGCGGAAGGAUCAUUACCUAGAGUUUGUAGACUUCGGUCUGCUACCUCUUACCCAUGUCUUUUGAGUACCUUCGUUUCCUCGGCGGGUCCGCCCGCCGAUUGGACAACAUUCAAACCCUUUGCAGUUGCAAUCAGCGUCUGAAAAAACUUAAUAGUUACAACUUUCAACAACGGAUCUCUUGGUUCUGGCAUCGAUGAAGAACGCAGCGAAAUGCGAUAAGUAGUGUGAAUUGCAGAAUUCAGUGAAUCAUCGAAUCUUUGAACGCACAUUGCGCCCCUUGGUAUUCCAUGGGGCAUGCCUGUUCGAGCGUCAUUUGUACCUUCAAGCUCUGCUUGGUGUUGGGUGUUUUGUCUCGCCUCUGCGUGUAGACUCGCCUUAAAACAAUUGGCAGCCGGCGUAUUGAUUUCGGAGCGCAGUACAUCUCGCGCUUUGCACUCAUAACGACGACGUCCAAAAGUACAUUUUUACACUCUUGACCUCGGAUCAGGUAGGGAUACCCGCUGAACUUAAGCAUAUCAAUAAGCGGAGGA
rnacentral:rRNA from 1 species